rnacentral:rRNA from 1 species
UACGGGGGGGGCAAGCGUUGUUCGGAAGUACUGGGCGUAAAGGGCUCGUAGGCGGCCAACUAAGUCAGACGUGAAAUCCCUAGGCUCAACCUAGGAACUGCGUCUGAUACUGGAUGGCUUGAAUCCGGGAGAGGGAUGCAGAAUUCCAGGUGUAGCGGUGAAAUGCGUAGAUAUCUGGAGGAAUACCGGUGGCGAAGGCGGCAUCCUGGACCGGCAUUGACGCUGAGGAGCGAAAGCUAGGGGAGCAAACGGG